UACGAAGGGGGCUAGCGUUGCUCGGAAUCACUGGGCGUAAAGGGUGCGUAGGCGGGUCUUUAAGUCAGGGGUGAAAUCCUGGAGCUCAACUCCAGAACUGCCUUUGAUACUGAGGAUCUUGAGUUCGGGAGAGGUGAGUGGAACUGCGAGUGUAGAGGUGAAAUUCGUAGAUAUUCGCAAGAGCACCAGUGGCGAAGGCGGCUCACUGGUCCGGUACUGACGCUGAGGUGCGAAAGCGUGGGGAGCAAACAGG
rnacentral:rRNA from 1 species